AUUUAUAUAGUUUAAUAAAAACUUUAAUUUUGUAAAUUAAAUAUAACUUUAUGUUUAUAAAUA
rnacentral:tRNA from 1 species